AAUGUGUCUGUGUGCUGAAGACACUCAGAGAGAUGCUGCUUUGUGCUUCCAAUAUUUGUGUUGGAUCAAGAAAGCUACAAACAGGAUUUCAAGGAACUCCUGUAAACCCUAAAUAGGUUUCCUUAGGGUUGCUCAGGAGGAAAGUUUGGUCAUUAUGAGGAAGAUGGAAGACAACGAUUCAUGUUUUCUUGACUUAUUCUGUUACUGGAACACAAAAAUUUCAUUGAGAAGUUGACAGCUGAAUGAAAGAGUCAAAAUGAAAGAACUGGGUGAUCCAACUCAUGGUUCUAUAUCAGAAUCUGAUGCUGCCUGAUGGGAACACUUGCGGGCUACCCCCAGAACACUAC